rfam:Alligator mississippiensis ScZkoYb_323.1, whole genome shotgun sequence.
AUCUUGGCUUUACUAAAAGCCACCUUCAUUAAUGAAGCAGUAACUU